GACGAACGCUGGCGGCGUGCUUAACACAUGCAAGUCGAGCGGUAAGGCCCUUUCGGGGUACGACGAGCGGCGAACGGGUGAGUAACACGUGGGUGACCUGCCCUCAGCUCUGGGAUAAGCCUGGGAAACCGGGUCUAAUACCGGAUAUGACUCCAUGACGCAUGUUGUGGGGUAGGAAAGCCUUGUGCGGCUGAGGAUGGGCCCGCGGCCUAUCAGCUUGUUGGUGGGGNGAUGGCCUACCAAGGCGACGACGGGUAGCCGCCUGAGA
rnacentral:rRNA from 1 species